GACCAUUUGAUUCUGCCUAAGGAGGAAACGAAUCUAGGCCAUUCUUCACGUUUGAUCUCGAUCAUCUAAUCGCACCUAAGGAGGAAACGAAUCUGGACCGUUCAUCACAUUUGAUCACAACCGUUCGAUCACGCCUGAGGAGAGAAAUGAUCUGGACAGUCCACGUGCAAAAUUUUCGCGUGGCAAAAUUUUCUUUAAUUGCAUUCUGACCCCCCAGUUU
rnacentral:lncRNA from 1 species